GACGAACGCUGGCGGCGUGCUUAACACAUGCAAGUCGAACGGAAAGGCCCUGCUUUUGUGGGGUGCUCGAGUGGCGAACGGGUGAGUAACACGUGAGUAACCUGCCCUUGACUUUGGGAUAACUUCAGGAAACUGGGGCUAAUACCGGAUAGGAGCUCCUGCUGCAUGGUGGGGGUUGGAAAGUCUCGGCGGGUGGGGCUGGACUCGCGGCUUAUCAGCUUGUUGGUGGGGUAGUGGCUUACCAAGGCUGUGACGGGUAGCCGGCCUGAGAGGGUGACCGGCCUCAUUGGGACUGAGGUACGGCGCAGACUGCAACGGGAGGCAGCGGUGGGGAAUAUGGCACAAUGGGCGGAAGCCUGAGGCAGCAACGCCGCGUGCGGGAUGACGGCCUGCUGGUUGUAAACCGCUUUCGCCUGUGACGAAGCGUUAGUGACGGUAAUGGGUAAAGAAGCACCGGCUAACUACGUG
rnacentral:rRNA from 1 species